GAAGUUGGCUUCCUUGUGUUUCGCGAUGUUUUGAGAUUUUAUCAAUAUUCACGUGUUCACUGAGGUAUGUCUGGCUACGUCGGCGUGCACUUCUCCUCUAGUAGAACGUCGCGACCCGCUGGGUGUCGGUUUAAGGACUAAGUUGUCGACUGUUCCGUCGUUACGGCGUACGGUAACAGACGCUUUGGAUCCCGACCGGCUGUCCGGCGGUACACGUAAGGUAUUGAGCCGCACUUGAAUGCGUUCAGACUCGUAACAAGCUCAAUUAUUUCCCAGGGUGUUCGGAUUGAAUGCCGUCAUCUUGGGGUGGUUAGCUGUUGGUUAAUGAUGUUCUCGAACUGGCUUAAAUUGAAUUAAAGAUACCUGUCAGCGACGCUAUUGCUUUGGGUACUUUCAGGACCCGUCUUGAAACACGGACCAAGGAGUCUAACAUGUGCGCGAGUCAUUGGGAUAUUUAAACCUAAAGGCGCAUUGAAAGAAAAAAUCGACCUUGCGUCGAUUGAGGGAGGAUGGGCAACGUUCAGAUGUUGCUUCGCACUCCCGGGGCGUCUCGUUGUCACCUCGUGUGACUUGAGGCGCACCUAGAGCGUACACGUUGGGACCCGAAAGAUGGUGAACUAUGCCUGGUCAGGAUGAAGUCAGGGGAAACCCUGAUGGAGGUCCGUAGCGAUUUCUGACGUGCAAUCGAUCGUCGAA
rnacentral:rRNA from 1 species